UACAGAGGUCCCAAGCGUUGUUCGGAUUCACUGGGCGUAAAGGGUGCGUAGGUGGCGGGGUAAGUCGGAUGUGAAAUCUCGGAGCUCAACUCCGAAAUGGCAUUGGAAACUACCCUGCUAGAGGGUCGGAGGGGGGACUGGAAUACUUGGUGUAGCAGUGAAAUGCGUAGAUAUCAAGUGGAACACCAGUGGCGAAGGCGAGUCCCUGGACGACUCCUGACACUGAGGCACGAAAGCUAGGGGAGCAAACGGG
rnacentral:rRNA from 1 species